rnacentral:rRNA from 1 species
AUUAAACGCUGGCGGCAUGCCUUACACAUGCAAGUCGAACGGCAGCACGGGGGCAACCCUGGUGGCGAGUGGCGGACGGGUGAGUAAAGCAUCGGAACGUAUCCUGGAGUGGGGGAUAACGUAGCGAAAGUUACGCUAAUACCGCAUAUUCUGUGAGCAGGAAAGCAGGGGACCGCAAGGCCUUGCGCUCUUUGAGCGGCCGAUGUCAGAUUAGCUAGUUGGUGAGGUAAAGGCUUACCAAGGCGACGAUCUGUAGCGGGUCUGAGAGGAUGAUCCGCCACACUGGAACUGAGACACGGUCCAGACUCCUACGGGAGGCAGCAGUGGGGAAUUUUGGGACAAUGGGCGCAAGCCUGAUCCAGCCAUGCCGCGUGAGUGAAGAAGGCCUCGGGUUGUAAAGCGUCUUUC